UACGUAGGUGGCAAGCGUUAUCCGGAACUAUUGGGCGUAAAGAGCGCGCAGGUGGUUGAUUAAGUCUGAUGUGAAAGCCCACGGCUUAACCGUGGAGGGUCAUUGGAAACUGGUCGACUUGAGUGCAGAAGAGGGAAGUGGAAUUCCAUGUGUAGCGGUGAAAUGCGUAGAGAUAUGGAGGAACACCAGUGGCGAAGGCGGCUUCCUGGUCUGUAACUGACACCGAGGCGCGAAAGCGUGGGGAGCAAACAGGAUUAGAUACCCU
rnacentral:rRNA from 1 species